rnacentral:lncRNA from 1 species
CGGAUGCAAGGCAGGGAACCGCACGGGAAGUGCAUGGAAAGCCCGAGUGCAUUCGCGAGAUGGGUCCCGUGUGUUUGUGCGUUGCAGUGCUCCUCGUCGUCGCCGCCGCAGCUUCCGCAUCUCAGAAUGCCCACUCAGAAAAACAGCGUCAAAUGAAGUCCCAGAAGAUGAUGGAGAAUCCCAGAAAUUCAUUCUCCAUGAAAGGCAAAUCUCAACGGCAACCAACGCUGAAAAGGAAGUUGUGGCGUACAAGAAUAUUGAAGAGCUUACUUGCUACAUUGAAAAAAUUCAAGAGCACCGUACGGAAAGGAUGAAUGGUGCCACGCUUUUUGCCUCCACGUUGCAAAUUUCUCAUAAAAAGGCGAGACAGCUAUGGGGCCCUAAAAUUGUUGAAUUUUGCAACGGGAUGCAAAUCAAGCUUCUCCACUCCAGACCGCCAGUGCCCAACUCACCGAGUCAUCAAGUGCUAUCCUCCAGCCAUCAGUCGAAGAUUCAGCCUAACGAUCCAAUAUUACGGAAACAGCGUUCUCUCACCAGCUCUAGCGAGGUUCUGAUUCUCAACGAGGAUAGUGUGGACGCUGCCUCGGUCCAUUCUGAGACAAGGAGUCGUAUCAAACGGAGGACUAAACGGGAAACAGACCGGAAGUCGCGGUACAGAGGCCAAGUACAAACCCAAUUUAUAGCUUUUGGCGGGGGCAAAGACGGCACAAAUAGCGGAACGGCUGAGGCGAUUGCUCAGCCAGAUAUGUCAAGAGCUACUGUUAGUAAGUGUCUGGCUUAUUUUGAUUUUCAAUUUAGGUGUAAUUUGGAAAACUAACAGACAUGGCACAAGUAAAAGCUACGAAGAAAAGUCCUGUAGAUUUACU